AUUGAACGCUGGCGGCAGGCCUAACACAUGCAAGUCGAACGCGUGGCGGACGGGUGUGAAAUGUCUGGGAAACUGCGCGAUGGAGGGGGAUAUCUAUAGGAAACGGUAGCUAUUACAGCAUAUGACCUGAUGUGUCCAGAUGGGAUUAGCUAGUGGGUGGGGUAAUGGCUCACCUAGGCGCCGAUCCCUAGCUGGUCUGAGAGGAUGAACAGCCACACUGGAACUGAGACACGGUCCAGACUCCUACGGGAGGCAGCAGUGGGGAAUAUUGCACAAUGGGCGCAAGCCUGAUACAGCCAUGCCGCGUGUAUGAAGAAGGCCUUAGGGUUGUAAAGUACUUUCAGCGAGGAGGCGUUACUCGCAGAAGAAGCACCGGCUAACUCCGUGCCAGCAGCCGCGGUAAUUC
rnacentral:rRNA from 1 species